rnacentral:lncRNA from 1 species
GUAUAAAAUAUUAAUGAAACAUAAAAAGAAAAUUAAAACUCAUAAACUCGUCAACGACAAAACGAAAAUGAUAACAAGCCUUCUGAACUAUUGGUAGAACACAUCGUUUAAUCAGAACUUAUCUAAUUUGAUGCAUUUUGCCUUCCAUUAGCAGCUUGAAAAGAAGCGACAAUAUUUUUAGAAAACGUGAAUAACUAUACAAUACCUAUUGAUUUAGGUUUAAUCAGAUAGAAAAAGACAAAUAUUGAGUGAUUUCAACAUGACUGCCGUUUAAGAUGAAACCAAACUAGCAAUGUAAAAAGAGUGCAAAUAUAUACAACCAACGUGCAAUUUUAUAGAUUUAUCCUUUAUAAGCAUGAGGACUACGCUGACGAAUCCUCCUUCCCCAAAAGAAAAAUAUGAAAGGAAUAGGAACUAAGCCACAACCAACAAAUGCCAGAAGAGAAGUAGCCCAAUGGUAAUUCAAAUUAUUAUACAUUGGUCGAGCAACAAUCGUCAUUCCACCGCCAGCGGCAUAACGAGUAAAUGUAGCUACGGAUAAUGCACUAGCCGCCAUCUCAUGGUAGCAAUCCACCAAAUAACUAUAGCAUACAGCAAGAACAUACAAAAAGCCCCAUCCCAGAAAAAUACCACUAACCAUGGGUGCAGCCCAAUGAACCGAAGGGUAGCACGUCCAGCCUAACCAAAACAACGCAAUGGGAAUAAAGAAUGAACCGAAGAAUAGAGGAAACAGUCUAUCUUCCGGACAAAUAUUUCCAUCUCUCAUUUCAUAACGACGUCUGUAAUGAACAUAAAUAAUAGGAGUUAAAGCAAGACCAAGUAAAAUGCCGACCAGAAUUCCAAGAAUAGCCAAACCAACUUCACCGGCGUUAAAACCGUAUUGGUAAAAAAUAAGGGGGUAACCAACCAUGCAAAUAUACAAAAGAAUAUUGAUGAAUACCAAGUACAUGCAAAAUGCUUGGACAAUGGGUUCAGUACACAACAAUCGCACACCUCUCGUCAAAGCCGUCCUAAUUGCAUAGGCAGGAUCCCUUUGAUGCUCAUGCUCGUUGUACCAUUUGUCACAAUUUGUUUUUUUACGCAAGUAACGAGCCUUGAAAUCCAACAACGUUUCACUAUGGGUUUCUGGCAUCGUGAAACAAACGAUUACCCAUGUCAAACCAGCCCAAAUCAUGUUGAUCCAAAAAUCCCAGCGCCAACCAAGCUUGCUUUCUGUAAUAUAUCCACCCAUUACGGGACCAACUAAAGGACCAACAAAUGCGGCAGCACAGAACACUAAAAGGGCACCAGUUCGCUGAAUUGGGUUGAAGAGAUCGCUAAUAGUACCACCACAGGCUGACAUAGGUGUACAACCGAAAAAUCCGUGAAAAAAGCGGAAAAUAACAAGACUCCAAAUAUUUUUGGAACAUCCACCACCAAUUUGGAAAACAACAAAAAUAACUAACGUAACUGAGUAAAGAGGAAGUCUACCAUACACUUCACUUAAAGGUGCAAAUAAAACAGAACCAGCUGCAAAACCAAGCAAAAAGGUAGCCGAGCAGAGAUCUCCCACAGUAGCACCAACAUGAUAUUGUUGUGCAGCAAUGCCACCACCGUCAGAAAAGAUACUAGAGUUGGCUGUAAUGACAAUAGCGAUAAAGGAUGCAACCAAAAGUGUAUAGAUUUUUUUCCACAUUGGCCAAUUCUUAGGGGCUAAAGGAUCCUUACCAGAUUCCCAUUCGACCUGAUAACUAUCCUCUCCACUAUCAUCUUCAGUAUCCGAGGUAGUAUUAUCUGAAGAUCGAGUAUUGUUAGUAGAAGUUAAAUCUUCCUCGUCACUAGAAUUCGGAUUGGAUUCAACCUUCUCACGUUCUCUGUGAAAUGGCAAGUUUCGAUCAUUACCAAGAUACCUCUUCUCAUUUUCAAUUGCACGAGAUUUUGCAUUGUAUGCCUCGAGAUUUAAAUGUCGGUACUUAUACCCAGUUAUUAAGAAAAUGUAAUCCAUGUUCGUCAAAAACUCAAGAGGAUUAGAUAAGCUGUAUGGAAUAACAAAAAUAAUAAAAUCAAUAACUAUAAAGAGACUUCAACUUGAAAGGUAUGCUUAGCGAGUUUACAGUAUGUACCCACUAACAGUGAAAAUUUACAAACGAUUGUUGAUGAUGAACAAAGUAAGAAUGCAGAAACCAAUUGAGGGUGAAACAAAAUGAUA